rnacentral:rRNA from 1 species
UCCUACGGGGGGCAGCAGUGAGGAAUAUUGGUCAAUGGGCGCGAGCCUGAACCAGCCAAGUAGCGUGAAGGAUGACGGCCCUAUGGGUUGUAAACUUCUUUUAUAUGGGAAUAAAGUUUGGUAUGCAUACCAUUUUGUAUGUACCAUAUGAAUAAGGAUCGGCUAACUCCGUGCCAGCAGCCGCGGUAAUACGGAGGAUCCGAGCGUUAUCCGGAUUUAUUGGGUUUAAAGGGAGCGUAGGUGGAUUGUUAAGUCAGUUGUGAAAGUUUGCGGCUCAACCGUAAAAUUGCAGUUGAAACUGGCAG